rnacentral:rRNA from 1 species
UACGUAGGUGGCAAGCGUUAUCCGGAAUUAUUGGGCGUAAAGAGCGCGCAGGUGGUUGAUUAAGUCUGAUGUGAAAGCCCACGGCUUAACCGUGGAGGGUCAUUGGAAACUGGUCGACUUGAGUGCAGAAGAGGGAAGUGGAAUUCCAUGUGUAGCGGUGAAAUGCGUAGAGAUAUGGAGGAACACCAGUGGCGAAGGCGGCUUCCUGGUCUGUAACUGACACUGAGGCGCGAAAGCGUGGGGAGCAAACAGGAUUAGAUACCG